rnacentral:other from 1 species
GCGAGGCUGCCCGGUUCGUUAGGCCGCACAACUCCCGGGGGCUAUAAUCAUAGAUAGGGAGCUGUCCCUGGUAGGGCCCUGGCCUUACUACACGGCACCCACGUAGUUGCUCGUGGCCCAUGUGGAGGUCGCGUAGAGCCGACGGCCAGGGUGGCUUCGCA